AGCUUUGCGCAGUGGCGAUAUCGUAACCGAUGAGGUCCAUCCGAGGUGCGAUUAUUGCUAGUUGAAAACUUUAACCAAUACCCCGCCAUGUGGACAUGAAACACUGUCCGCAUAGGCAAUUUUUGCAGGCCCUAGCGGGC
rnacentral:snRNA from 1 species